rnacentral:rRNA from 1 species
ACGGCUACCACAUCCAAGGAAGGCAGCAGGCGCGCAAAUUACCCAAUCCCGAUCCGGGGAGGUAGUGACAAUAAAUACUGAUACAGGGCUCUUUUGGGUCUUGUAAUUGGAAUGAGUACAACCUAAAUCCCUUAACGAGGAACAAUUGGAGGGCAAGUCUGGUGCCAGCAGCCGCGGUAAUUCCAGCUCCAAUAGCGUAUAUUAAAGUUGUUGCAGUUAAAAAGCUCGUAGUUGAACCUUGGGCCUGGCUGGCCGGUCCGCCUCACCGCGAGUACUGGUCCGGCUGGGCCUUUCCUUCUGGGGAACCCCAUGGCCUUCACUGGCUGUGGCGGGGAACCAGGACUUUUACUGUGAAAAAAUUAGAGUGUUCAAAGCAGGCCUUUGCUCGGAUACAUUAGCAUGGAAUAAUAGAAUAGGACGUGCGGUUCUAUUUUGUUGGUUUCUAGGACCGCCGUAAUGGUUAAUAGGGAUAGUCGGGGGCGUCAGUAUUCAGCUGUCAGAGGUGAAAUUCUUGGAUUUGCUGAAGACUAACUACUGCGAAAGCAUUCGCCAAGGAUGUUUUCAUUAAUCAGGGAACGAAAGUUAGGGGAUCGAAGACGAUCAGAUACCGUCGUAGUCUUAACCAUAAACUAUGCCGACUAGGGAUCGGGCGGUGUUUCUAUGAUGACCCGCUCGGCACCUUACGAGAAAUCAAAGUUUUUGGGUUCUGGGGGGAGUAUGGUCGCAAGGCUGAAACUUAAAGAAAUUGA